rnacentral:rRNA from 1 species
AUUGAACGCUGGCGGCAGGCUUAACACAUGCAAGUCGAGCGGAGAGAGGUAGCUUGCUACUGAUCUUAGCGGCGGACGGGUGAGUAAUGCUUAGGAAUCUGCCUAUUAGUGGGGGACAACAUUUCGAAAGGAAUGCUAAUACCGCAUACGUCCUACGGGAGAAAGCAGGGGAUCUUCGGACCUUGCGCUAAUAGAUGAGCCUAAGUCGGAUUAGCUAGUUGGUGGGGUAAAGGCCUACCAAGGCGACGAUCUGUAGCGGGUCUGUGAGGAUGAUCCGCCACACUGGGACUGAGACACGCCCCAGACUCCUACGGGAGGCAGCAGUGGGGAAUAUUGGACAAUGGGCGGAAGCCUGAUCCAGCCAUGCCGCGUGUGUGAAGAAGGCCUUAUGGUUGUAAAGCACUUUAAGCGAGGAGGAGGCUACUUUAGUUAAUACCUAGAGAUAGUGGACGUUACUCGCAGAAUAAGCACCGGCUAACUCUGUGCCAGCAGCCGCAGUAACAC